UGCUCUGAGUGUGGGAGAAGGUUCGGCACCAAGGCACAGCUGAAGAGACACAUGAGAAUCCACACAGGAGAAAAGCCUUUUAGCUGCUCAGAGUGUGGUAGAGCUUUCACUGAUAGUGGAAACCUGAGGACACACAGGCUAACUCACACAGGAGAAAAACCUUUCAGCUGUUCAGUCUGUAAGAAAUCUUUUACACAAAGUGGAAGUUUACGGUCACACAUGAGGAAUCCACACAGGAGAGAAAAGAUUCAGCUGCAGUGUUUGUAACAAA